AGCGAACGCUGGCGGCAGGCCUAACACAUGCAAGUCGAACGAACUCUUCGGAGUUAGUGGCGGACGGGUGAGUAACACGUGGGAACGUGCCUUUAGGUUCGGAAUAACUCAGGGAAACUUGUGCUAAUACCGAAUGUGCCCUUCGGGGGAAAGAUUUAUCGCCUUUAGAGCGGCCCGCGUCUGAUUAGCUAGUUGGUGAGGUAAAGGCUCACCAAGGCGACGAUCAGUAGCUGGUCUGAGAGGAUGAUCAGCCACAUUGGGACUGAGACACGGCCCAAACUCCUACGGGAGGCAGCAGUGGGGAAUCUUGCGCAAUGGGCGAAAGCCUGACGCAGCCAUGCCGCGUGAGUGAUGAAGGUCUUAGGAUUGUAAAAUUCUUUCACCGGGGACGAUAAUGACGGUACCCGGAGAAGAAGCCCCGGCUAACUUCGUG
rnacentral:rRNA from 1 species